rnacentral:rRNA from 1 species
CACGUAGUUAGACGGUGCUUCUUAUCUACCUACCGUCACCACAAAGUGGCUUCGUCGAUAGCGAAAGGAGUUUACAACCCGAAGGCCUUCAUCCCCCACGCGGCGUCGCUGCAUCAGGCUUGCGCCCAUUGUGCAAUAUUCCCCACUGCUGCCUCCCGUAGGAGUCUGGGCCGUAUCUCAGUCCCAAUGUGUCCGUACACCCUCUCAGGCCCGGAUACCCCGUGCCGCCUUGGUAGGCCCAUUACCCCACCAACAAGCUGAUAGGCCGCAGGCUCAUCCCACACCGCAAAAGCUUUCCACCACACCAUCCAAGAUGCGGUCCUAUAUGGUAUUAGACCCAGUUUCCCAGGCUUAUCCCACAGUGCAGGGCAGAUCACCCACGUGUUACUCACCCGUUCGCCACUCGAGUACUUCUAGCAAGCUAGACGGCCCUUCCGUCGACUUGCAUGUGUUAAGCUACCGCCGCCAGCGUUCAUCGUGAGCC